AAAUACAUGAUAAGGAAAAGGGAAGCAGUCGUUGCUUAUGAAGUGAGCUGAAAUAUGUGUAAAUGUAUAAAUAAAUGAAGGCAAUCUUUCCCAGCACACUGUUUAGAGUUACUUUCUUCAAGUGUGCAACAUGUGCACCCCAAGUAGGCUCAGUCUAGUCCCAUAUGAAGUUGAAGAAAUAAAUUACUUCGUUUCUUUACAAUAAAAAAUUGCAGCAUAUCAUGCUAUUCAAACUGAAUGUAUCUCAUCUCAGCUAUCCCUUUCUUACCAAGCAUAUUGGUCCACACUGUUUCCUCUUCUCUUCAGCUCCAUGCCAUGAUAGCAUUUACUGCAUUUCAUUUUUCUUCUCAAAAGUUUCUUCCUCUGAAACCACUUAAUAAGCUUCCAAGCAUUUUGUUUAGAAGCUUCCUGAUGUAGAAGGUUUCUCACACUGCUGAAUCUUGUCAUUACACUGGUGAAUGAUGCCGCCAGGAUCGUGCUGCCACAGAAUCUAACGCCUGCGUUCAGUAGGAAUCGCGUCAUCAACGUGGGACAAAGAAAGGUUUCGCGCUUAUUCUAUAGUGAUAUAGCCACCUGUUCCAGCUGACAGUAGCAGUAAUAAUGGCAAACAGAAAACGGAUACAGACCAGAGGAAAAAAAUAUGUAGAGGAGACAGAAGCGGAAGGCAGCAGUGUUGGUGCGUCAGCAGCCCCCACAGCACAGCUGGCACUAAACAAUAAAGCACAUGAGUUGCAGAUGUGCAAAAAGAAAAUGGAAUGGCAGAAUGAGAAAAUAGAGGAGUUGACCAAGGAGAGAUUUCCUCAAGGAACAACUAGCAUCCGCUCUUAAAAAA
ensembl:lncRNA